rfam:Schizosaccharomyces cryophilus OY26 unplaced genomic scaffold supercont4.2, whole genome shotgun sequence.
GGAUGGGUGUCCGAGUGGUUAUGGAGCUGGCUUUAGGCGCCAGUGCGAAAGCUCGCGGGUUCGAGUCCCGUCCCAUUCA